CUCUCUCUCUCUCUCUCUCUCUCUCUCUCUCUCUCUCUCUCUCUCUCUCUCUCUCUCUCUCGCACACACCCUCCCUCUCUCCCUCUCCCCCCUCUCUCUCUCCUCCUCUGUGUUCAGGCUUAGCUCCUCUCUCUAUAUGUAUAUUAACAAUGCCCAGUGCAAAGGCGCUGACAGAUUGGAUUUAUUUCGCCCGUGCAGAUUAGAGUCCCCCCGCCAAUCGAUGUCAGACAACAGUAUUUGGUAAAAAAAAAAUCAGCUCUAACUGAGAAGGAAUGGUGCUGAUGGGGUGAGAGGCAUUCCUAAACGUCCCCCUUGACGGUGCCUGAUUGCCUUCAUCUGCUCUGUCCUGUUCGCUCAGGAUCCUCCGCCAUCAGCUGAUCCGGGUUUUGUGUGGUUUUGCCUCAGUGAAGGACAGAAUGUGCAGGAGAUGUAAAUAUGCAAACUCAUGGGUAACCAUGCAUGCACGAAUACACACAUACAACCACACACACACACACACACACACACACCGCCCCCUCUCCAUCUGGUGAGUGGAGAGAGGAUCUGUGUGCUGCACAAGAGUUUUCCGUCACUCCAAACUGCGUCGAGCCUGAUCAACUCUCGGUAAUGACACACACACACACACACACACACAUUGGAGGCUGGUGUUUUUAAUUGUUGUCGUUACACUACAGUUUGGCCUCCUGAUGUGGAACAACAGCUUCAAUUCAAUUGAUCCGAGCUCUGAUUGGACCUCCUCCACCAAUGGGGGGGCCGGCGGACUGUCAAACAGCCAUGUGUCCUGAAGAGGGGACUCUUUUGUUUGCCUCCCAGCUCGGCCUCUGAUUGGCUCGGCCCUCAAUCCAAUAAGAAAUCAAGCAAAAGAUCCGGGGUCCUUAAUCUGUGAUGGUGAUGAUGACCCAGUUUAGCCCCCGCCCUCAGCUGGCGGUCGCCAAGGAGACGCUUCCCUUCUCAUCCCUGAACGGAACCGUCGGAGGCAGGCAAAGGUUAAUCCAACACACACACACGCAAAUAAAUACUCAUCAGCCAAAACAUUAAUACCCCCGACAGGUGAAGAACACUGCUCCAGGACUAGUUAGGGAAACACUUGGAACUAUUUUAGGACAUUUGGAAGUAAUAUCAAACUAUAUCUAUUUAUGACUGGCUUAAGUUUUACUGUGGGACUUAUUCUGGAUGAGUUUGGGAAACAUUGGGGGCUAGCUUUGAGCGUAUUUCACACUAAUUUUAGAGCCGUAUUAAACUUGCUUUGGGCGUAUUUCACUCACAAUCACCUCCACCUCUUGAUCUGUCUUGGCGUGACAUCCUGCGGCGCGGCCUCAGAGAUCUCUAUCGGGGUUCAGACUUCAGCAGGUGGUCAUAAUGUUCUGGCUGAUCGGCGCAUCUGUGAAUGCAGGGUUUGUCUCUGAUGCAAAUUCAUGCAAACCAGUCACAUCAGACGUCUCAGAGACACCUGCACUCCAGCCUCUGCUCUGAAUUUGCGUCCGAUGGCGAUCGCCGCUCCCCCCCCCCGUGCUGCGACGACGACGACGACGCGACGCGGCGCUGUGGAAUUCGUGCCCGGCCUCCGCGGCGCCCGCACCGUCCAAACCCGGCGAGCGCCCACCUCCUUCGGCAGCCAGGAAUACUACUGCACUCAUUUAUCUCAUCUUAUUUACGAUAUCUGACUCCUAUUGAUCUGCUCCAGUUUCUGCACGAUCAGCCUGAACUCAGGCUCCCGCUGCUGCAGCUCGACUGUUUGGAUGCUGCAAAUCAGUCUGGGCGAAGUACUGCCGCAGCUCCUCGCUGAUCUCCAUGUUGCUCACGUCGCACUCGAUCUCCCCGUCGGAGCUGCUGUCCUCGUCCCCGUCCUCCUGCCAGUCGGCGUAGCGCCGCUCCCGGGGCCGGGGCCGCGGCGGGCCGUAGGCGGCCUCCCAGGCCUUGCUGUAGGCCCGCCGGUGCCUCUGGUACCAGGCCAUGGCCUGGUGGUAGUGCUGCCAGUAGCGGGUGAAGACGGGGGCGGAAAACCAGGACAUCACGGCGCAUUCAUCCUCCUGACGACAAGAUGCUUCUGGUCAGUUUCACACUUUUUUAAAUGCUACAGAAUAUAAUUAUUUUCUGUGAUUGUAUAAAUUACCUAUUUAUACGAAGAUAUUUCAUCCUUAAUUGUCUAAAUUUGAUGGAAUGUUGACAAAUAUGGUGUUUAAAAAAAAGGUAUUUCUUUAGUAGUCACACUAUAUUCACAAUAGUGUAGUAGAUCUGAGUACAUAUAUAUAUAUAUAAUACACACACACACCUAUGCAGUAACUUCUUCCUGACUUUUCACACACAUUACGAUUGAAGGAAGCAAGUCUACCUUAUAAUAUAAUAAUGUCACAUGUAUUUACAAUUGUAUAUAAAGUGACAUACAUUGAGACGAGGUAAAUAUAUACAUUCUACAAUGUAUUUUUUUAUCGAGCUGCCUGAAAGCACACAUUAUUUCCCCUAAACUGCUCAUUUCACUCCUGGUUUAUUUUAAUUCUCACCUUUUAGUAUCAUGGAACACAAAUUAAUGUCACAGUGUUGAAUAAUAAUAGAAGAAACUAAAUGAAAAAUAUGAGAAAGUAACUGCAAAUUUCAGAUUGUAUGAUUGAUUUCAGUGCGCAUGCGCCGCGCAUUGAUACACCAAAACGCGGAGGAAAAAAUAGUCCGUGCAACCCGGCGAGUAUUUUUAUUGCUUAGUGACUUUUAAUUACAUAAUAACAAGACAUAUUUACUUGUAGCCACUGCGUUUGGUGUGAAAACUGCGAUGUAACGGUGAGAAACAGACUCACCAUGAUGCCAGCAGACUUGUGCCGCUCCGCGUCUCUCAGCUGCUUAAAAACCUGCAACACAGAACAACAUAACGUCCGCGUGGGGCUGAAACAUCACGUUAAUGCGCGAGAGACGCGGGAAAUGGUCUCGUUGAGGCGCAUUUACCUGUCCGGACUGAGAAUGUUUUGCUUCUCCCCGUGCUCCUUCCUCACAUGGACAUGUUCCCAGCAUGCUUUGAGGCUGACCAGGCUGACCGGGUGGCGCCCCCCAGCGGCCCCUCGCGGGCUCUGCACCUCAGCAUGAACCACCGUGAGACUGAGAUCAAACACUCAUCUGAGGAGUUCUCUAUCUGCUCCUGCAUGGAUGUAACACACAAUCUCAACCAUUUCACAGGAGAAAAAUCUGAAUUUGUUGAAUAAAUGACACGACAGCGUCAGAAUGUCGUAUUAUCCGUGCAGAUUUGAGCGUAGAAACAGAAUAGUUGAGUCUUGUGAGGCAUGUCAGACUGUCUAACUGGGUCAUGUUUUGGCUUCGGGCUUCAAAGCUUUCAGAGGAAACACAAAAAGACAGGCAUGCCUCCUUAAAAAUGCUGAAAUUUAAUAUUUCUCCAAGAUUUUUCCCAUGUUAAGUUUCAUUUGUCCCCAAAUAAUUGAUGCAUUUCAUUGUUUUCAAUCAGUGAAGUUCAUGAAGCUACAGAAAAGAACUCAUUAAUACAUCACCAUCCUAAUUUUAUGCAUGCCAAUAUGCGAAAAGGGUUUAAGAAAGCGAUAAAAGAAGUAUUAUUAAUACACAGAGACUGCUGGGUGUGAAUAAAUGUAGGUCACAUAACUGGGUUCACUUCUCCCUCUGCUGGCAGAUCAGACUGGAUGUGGACUUUUAUUGUAGUCUGACAUUUAAAUGCAGAUGUGCAGCCUGGAGGGUCAAAGUCAAAUAUUUUAAUUAAAAAAAAAGAAAAGAAAUGAAAACAAGACUCAUAUUUGUAAUCUGAAUACCUUGCUGCAGCAGACUGAGCUGCUGAACCACCUCAGGACGAACUCAACAGAAAGGUUCCAUAUUUAAUGGUGCUGUAGUUCAUAUGUGUUUCUGGGUGGUAUCUGUAGAUAUUUUAAGAAAUGUUCAGGUUUUAUUUGUGCUGCAGUAACUUCUUCCUGACUUCUCACCUGAUCUUGAAAAUAGUCUCAGACGUUUUCUUUGUCUUGUUUGACCUUGACAGUUUCGAAACUGAGACGCUGUCACGCUUCCUGUUCAGGAGUGAACCACCGCUGGUGUUUCUGACAGAGAUGAUAUUUAGGUUACAAGAAGUGGGUCAGUUGUUUGUUUUCUCAGUUACCUUUCAGAGCUCUCGUCUGCAGCGACAGAGAGAUGGACACGUUCAGACUGUGGUUUCUUCUGCUUCUGACCCUCUGUGACAGUGAAGAUUUCCUUGUGAAGAGAAUCAGGCAGAAAGCAGAAGUGACUCCAGUGUGUAACUCCAGCCACACUGUGGAUAUCAUCACUCUGCUGGUGUGUAAGAUCAGAACAGAGCGGAGCAGGACUGAACCCUGUUCUCUGAUCUACAAGUAUGAUGGACGUGGAUUCAGCUUUGAUCAGGGAUGUGGCUCCAGCUUCUUCCUCACUGGAAACAAUCAGACAUCGCUUCUCCACUUCCAGGAUUUGACUGCAGCUGACAGCGGGAACAUCACCUGUUCAUGUUCAUACCUAGAUGGAGUGUAUGUUCUCCAUCUCAGCAUCACUGUGGAAGAUUCAGAGGAAGAAGAGGGAGGUAUGAUAAUACCAACGGUCAUCUGUGCUUCAGUUUCUGUGGCUUUUUUUCUCACGCUGGCCUCAGUGAUGCUGGUGUUCAUCUGCACAAAACACCAACAAAGAAAAGAACCGGAUGCAGUGAGAAAACCUCCCGACAUGGACUUUGCAGACGUGGGGCCAUACAGCACCUUCAUCCCCACUGAGGCUGGACUUUACUCAGUGGUCCGGCUUCACUGCUCGUAGACACUCUGAGAAUUCAGACAGGAGAACACGAGAAAACCCGUCUGGGUGUUUUCAAAGUGGUCUCAACACAGAUAGAACAGAUGAAAAAUCAGAGCGUUAUUAGACGAAUACAAGAAGAUGGAUGAAAUAAAGAAAAGACCAGCGUACUGCCGAGAGAUGAGUCAAUUCAAUAUACACCUCAUUGUAAUUUUCUGUCUGACCACCAGAGGGCAACAUUUCACUGGGAAAUGAACCCUGUUAUGUUUCAGCAGUCUGUUUUCUAAACUCAUUCUCGUGGAAGCAAAAUGCGUUCACACAAUAUAACAGUAUACAACAUAUUGUAACAUCAUGGAAUACACGUUUUACAACUUUUUUUUCUCCUGAAUUGUAAGUUUCUACGUGUUAUUUUGAAAAUUAUCAGCUCUCCUUUAGCUUGGCUUGUGUAUCAGACAGCAGUCUGUGUUAAGAUACUCAAAUAGCUGAACAGAAUGAUCAAUACGUUACCGUCUGAAUCAUUUUCUGGUUUCACAAUGUAAAGACUUCCUCAGGUAGAAGAGAAUUGGAAGUUGGUCCUCAUCCAAUAUGGCCGCCACGCUGACCCAGUCAAUGGUCAGUGAAGAGUCUAUUAAGAUGGAUGUGUGACUGAUAGUGAAACUGCAACAUCAAACUCCUACAAGGGACAUCUUAAACCAAACCAGUGAUCCAUCAAUCAAAAUUUAUUGAUAACAUGACCAUUGUCUUCAACUCUCAGGAAAUCCAACUGAAAUGUGUUAACAGAAAUGCCUUUUCUUUUUCUGAAUAAAGCUGCAUUUUCUUAAACUCGUUAAUAAAUUUUAUAAUGACAAUAAGGAAGUUGCUCUAUUGUAGUUUUCAUUCUGGCGGUGAUGCAUUUCUACAUGCGGUCUCCAUAACGCCUCCCCAGUUGAUUGAGCCGGUGCUUCACUCAGGCUGUGUUGUGUGCAGUUUUUGUCUGAGUUAUAAUCUGAAUUAACU